CAGUCGCCGCGGGAAUACGAAGGGGGCUAGCGUUGCUCGGAAUGACUGGGCGUAAAGGGCGCGUAGGCGGCGGCCAAAGUCAGGCGUGAAAUUCCCGGGCUCAACCUAGGAAUUGCAUUUGAUACUGUUUGGCUUGAGUUCGGGAGAGGUGAGUGGAAUUCCCAGUGUAGAGGUGAAAUUCGUAGAUAUUGGGGAGAACACCAGUGGCGAAGGCGGCUCACUGGACCGACACUGACGCUGAGGCGCGAAAGCGUGGGGAGCAAACAGGAUUAGAUACCCCGGUAGUCCCUGUCUCUUAUAC
rnacentral:rRNA from 1 species